GCCAGCAUAGCUCAAUGGUAGAGCAGCGGUUUUGUAAACCGCAGGUUGGGGGUUCAAGUCCCUCUGCUGGCU
rnacentral:tRNA from 1 species